UUGCCCUAGUAACGGCGAGUGAAGCGGCAACAGCUCAAAUUUGAAAUCUGGCGCAAGCCCGAGUUGUAAUUUGUAGAGGAUGCUUCUGGGUAGCGACCGAUCUAAGUUCCUUGGAACAGGACGUCAUAGAGGGUGAGAAUCCCGUAUGUGACCGGCCCGCACCCUUUACGUAGCUCCUUCGACGAGUCGAGUUGUUUGGGAAUGCAGCUCUAAAUGGGAGGUAAAUUUCUUCUAAAGCUAAAUACCGGCCAGAGACCGAUAGCGCACAAGUAGAGUGAUCGAAAGAUGAAAAGUACUUUGGAAAGAGAGUUAAAAAGCACGUGAAAUUGUUGAAAGGGAAGCGCCUGCAACCAGACUUCGCGGCAGUGUUCCGCCGGUCUUCUGACCGGUUCAUUCUCUGUCGCGAGGCCAUCAUCGUCUGGGCCCGCCGGAUAAGACCUUAGGAAUGUAGCUCACCUUCGGGGGAGUGUUAUAGCCUAGGGUGAUGCGGCGAGGCUCGGGCGAGGUCCGCGCUUCGGCAAGGAUGAUGGCGUAAUGGUUGUCGGCGGCCCGUCUUGAAACACGGACCAAGGAGUCUAACAUCUAUUCGAGUGUUCGGGUGUCAAACCCCUACGCGUAAUGAAAGUGAACGGAGGUGGGGAACCGCAAGGUGCACCCAUCGACCGAUCCUGAUGUCCCUCGGAUGGAUUUUGAGUAAGAAGCAUAGCUUUUUGGGGACCCGAAAAGAAGGAUGAAACUAUGCCCUGAAAUAGGGGUGCAAGCCCAGGAGGAAAACUCCUGGGGGGAGGCUUCGCCAGCGGUUUCUUGACGGGGCAAAUUCGGAU
rnacentral:rRNA from 1 species